rnacentral:rRNA from 1 species
GACGAACGCUGGCGGCGUGCUUAACACAUGCAAGUCGAACGGAAAGGCCUCUUUCGGGGGGUACUCGAGUGGCGAACGGGUGAGUAACACGUGAGUAACCUGCCCUUUACUUUGGGAUAACUUCAGGAAACUGGGGCUAAUACCGGAUAGGAGCUCCUGCUGCAUGGUGGGGGUUGGAAAGUUUCGGCGGUUGGGGAUGGACUCGCGGCUUAUCAGCUUGUUGGUGGGGUAGUGGCUUACCAAGGCUUUGACGGGUAGCCGGCCUGAGAGGGUGACCGGCCACAUUGGGACUGAGAUACGGCCCAGACGCCUACGGGAGGCAGCAGUGGGGAAUAUUGCACAAUGGGUGGAAGCCUGAUGCAGCAACGCCGUGUGCGGGAUGACGGACUUCGGGUUGUAAACCGCUUUCGCUCAUGACGAAGCUUUGUGUGACGGUAGUGGGUAAAGAAGCACCGGCUAACUACGUG